AACAGUGUCAUGACAUUAGAUGCCUAUCAACGAAGAGAAAAGGUUGAUUUUUAAGUGACUACGGUGCACAGAAGCUGACCGCACAGCCAGCACUGUUACAGACUCUCAUCUGCAGCUCAUACCAGGUUGCCUCCUGAAGAUCAUAUACUAUAUAUGAUUUGAUAAUUUAGAUAUUAGCAUCAAUAGACAGCAUAUGAAGCAAAUAAAUCAAAGCACAU